rnacentral:misc_RNA from 1 species
AUCAUCAUCAUCAUCAUCAUCAUUUUCUCCAACUCUGCUACCUGCUCCUGAACUUGCUUCUAAUGUCUGCAAAAAUCUCAGUCCUAAUGAGACCAUGUACACUCAAAACCUGUUUACAAAUAUUCAGAGCCUCCAUUGUAACCAUAAAAUAUUAAUAACAUGUAUAAUAUAUUACUAAUAAUUCAUGUCUGAGAAAUAAUGAAAAAAGCCCUACUUUCAUCCAUAGAACUCCUUACAUAUUUUCACAUCAAACAUUAUAUGUAUAUAUAUUUAUGCCAAGCUAAUUAACCAAUGAUACAUAAUAGCGGGUAAUCUUUCCUUCUAGCACCUGAUUUAGUGAUAGAAGACAGGACAUGACAUGAAGUAAAGGGCAUAUGUAGGAUCAUAACCUCUUUCUACUCAUUUUAUACCCUAAAAAAGAUCUGAGCUUUGCUUGAUCUCCUC